rnacentral:snRNA from 1 species
AUCUUUGCGCUUGGGGCAAUGUCCGCGUUAAUGAGGUCUAACCGAGACCGGACUAUUGCGAAUUGAAAACUAUAUUCCAAAGCCCGCUGCGAUCUACUUCGGUAGUCGUAGCAAUUUCUGGACAGGACUCUCGCAGUCC